rnacentral:siRNA from 1 species
CGAGUCCCUUGUCAUCAGCCACUC